GUCAGAUGAAAAAUCGAAGUUACAUCAGUUGUUGAGGAUUCAGGUUGGUGCUAUGCAAAGUGCACAAAAUGCCCUAAAGAAAUUGCCCGUGAAAACGGUGUCUACAAAUGUGGUGACUGUCAAAGAAUAAUCCCUUAUCCAGACAAACGGUUCGGGCUAUGCACACUAUGUUCUGAUUGCACCGGUUCCGUGGCCAUCAUUUUCCCGGAUGAAGAAAUUAGCCGGAUUAUUGAUAAAACUGUCUUUGACAUUGAAGCAAAAGCUAUAAAGGAAAAAACACAGGAUAAAUUCCCCACAAUCCUUAAGCAAUUUGAGAACAAGAAAUACACUAUUACUCUAGCAAUUAACAAAACAAAUCUGGAAGAGGGUUCAAAUGUGUAUGAUGCUUGCGAAAUUAUGGAUAAGAUUGAAGCGGGAGCCAAUCACGAUCCUUCUCGAGAAUCGAAUGUGUCCAUGGAUUAUCAGUCUACUGUCAAUAUCAAAAGUGACAAUGAGGAUACGCUUCAUACUGGAGUUUCGUCCAACAAAACAAAAAGCCGUGAGGAACUACAACCGAUUGCUUAUGAUGACCAGACUGCUGUGCCAAACAAAAGAGCACGUAAGGUGCCUCGCAAAUAUGAAUGAACCUGAAUCUCACCUCCACCAACCCUUUUGACAAUGAAAAAGUUGAUGCUUCUGGCAGCUUGGAAAAACAUUAUUAAUCCAUCUUCUGUAAUAUUAUUUUGGUUUAACAUGUUACUUAUCUGCAUGUAUGCGACAGACAUUUCUUAUUUUUCUUUAACAUGUUAGUUAUCUGCUUUUAACAACUAUUAUAUCUAUGUUUAAAUAUUGCUUUAAAUUUUAGCAGAUGUAUUAAAUGGAGUUGUUCAGUUGUACUUAUUAUCUCAGCUACAAAUGAUGCAACUAUUAGACAUAAGCCACACACACCAGCCAACAUUACACCAGACCAAUUUUUCUUUCUACUCCAUUUACAAACUAUGUCAAACAAAUAUCAAGAACUCUCAAACUUGAAAUAUGGCACUUACGAUUACAAAAUCAAAGUUCGUCUAAUCCGCUUAUGGAGAGGAAUGACAAAUACAGGGGAAGAUUUUAAAGGUUUCAACAUUAUGCUGCUAGACUCCAAGGUCAGGAAAAAUUUAUUCAUUGAAAUAUCUGCACAUUUAAUUAACUAAUUUUUCUUUUCUUUCAUUAAUUUCAGGGCAAUGCGAUGCAUGCUUACAUACCAGCAAAAUGUUCUUAUGAUAUGGAGAGAAAGUUGCGAGUUGGAACGGUUUACAUCAUCAGGAACUUUACAGUACAAGCAUACAAGGACAAAGACAAGUUCAGAUGCCUCAGAAAUGAGAUGCAAAUGAUUUUCACACAGGAAACCACAGUUCACCAGGUGGAAGAGAAAGGGAAUAAUAUUGCGCACGAGGCUUUUGAUUUCUAUGAUCACAGUGAACUGAUGCCACUAACAAACCAAACAACUUUUUUGGCAGGUUAAAUCUUGCAUUCAUCUCAGAUUCAUGUCUUCUUUAUUAACAAUUAGCACCUUUAUGCUAUUACAAUGUACACAGAUGUCAUUGGUAUCAUAAGAGACCGAGAGAUAGUCCUGGAAAAACUAACAAACAGACAUGGUCAGCAGCAAGAACAGGCCAAGUUCAUCAUCACUGAUGGAAGGUUAAUUAUUUCUUUUUCAUUGCUUCAAGAUCUGUUCUUUAUUUGACUUUGUCUUCUACUGUUUUAUGAAGCUCGAAUAUACGCGUUACGUUUUGGGACAAAUUUGCAAGAUUAUUUGUAAAGGCCAUCUGGGAGGAACUAGAGAGUCCAGUGAUCAUCAUUAUUGCAAACUCGAGACCAAUGAUAUAUAACGG